rnacentral:rRNA from 2 species
GGCGGGGGAGCACCACAAGGGGUGAAGCCUGCGGUUCAAUUGGAGUCAACGCCAGAAAUCUUACCCGGAGAGACAGCAGAAUGAAGGUCAAGCUGAAGACUUUACCAGACAAGCUGAGAGGUGGUGCAUGGCCGUCGCCAGCUCGUGCCGUGAGAUGUCCUGUUAAGUCAGGUAACGAGCGAGAUCCCUGCCUCUAGUUGCCACCAUUACUCUCAGGAGUAGUGGGGCGAAUUAGCGGGACCGCCGCAGUUAAUGCGGAGGAAGGAAGGGGCCACGGCAGGUCAGUAUGCCCCGAAACUCUGGGGCCACACGCGGGCUGCAAUGGUAGUGACAAUUGGUUCCGAAUCCGAAAGGAGGAGGUGAUCCUCAAACGCUACCACAGUUAUGACUGAGGGCUGCAACUCGCCCUCACGAAUAUGGAAUCCCUAGUAACUGCGUGUCAUUAUCGCGCGGUGAAUACGUCCCUGCUCCUUGCACACACCGCCCGUCGUUUCAUUGAAGU